GACGAACGCUGGCGGCGUGCUUAACACAUGCAAGUCGAGCGGGAAACUUCGGUUUCCAGCGGCGGACGGGUGAGUAACACGUGGGCAACCUGCCCCACAAUGAGGGAUAGCCUUCCGAAAGGAAGAUUAAUACCUCAUAACACAAGAGAAACGCAUGUUUCUUUUGCCAAAGAAUUUCGUUGUGAGAUGGGCCCGCGGCGCAUUAGCCUGUUGGUGAGGUAACGGCUCACCAAGGCUUCGAUGCGUAGCCGACCUGAGAGGGUGGUCGGCCACAUUGGAACUGAGACACGGUCCAGACUCCUACGGGAGGCAGCAGUGGGGAAUAUUGCACAAUGGAGGAAACUCUGAUGCAGCAACGCCGCGUGAGUGAUGAAGGUCUUCGGAUUGUAAAGCUCUGUCUUCUGGGACGAUAAUGACGGUACCAGAGGAGGAAGCCAUGGCUAACUACGUGCCAGCAGCCGCAGUAACAC
rnacentral:rRNA from 1 species